rnacentral:ncRNA from 1 species
AGCCGAUCCUAAGGGACGGGGUAACCCCGGCAGAUAGCGCGAUCACGCGCAUCCCCCGAAAGGGAAUCGGGUUAAGAUUUCCCGAGCCGGGAUGUGGCGGUUGACGGCGACGUUAGGAAGUCCGGAGACGCCGGCGGGGGCCUCGGGAAGAGUUAUCUUUUCUGCUUAACGGCCUGCCAACCCUGGAAACGGUUCAGCCGGAGGUAGGGUCCAGUGGCC